rnacentral:hammerhead_ribozyme from 1 species
AUCCAGCUGACGAGUCCUAAAAUAGGACGAAACACGAGUCCUGGAU